CAACCCAUAUCCAUCUACCUAUCUACACCUAUCAGAGAAAGAGUGCACAAUUGCAUUGUAUUAGACAAUCCUCUGUGAGCGGCACAAAUCUCUCUCCUAUGUUGACAGUUUGUUACAAUGUAUCAAUGCAGAUAAACGUUAUCAGGCUGUUUACAUUUCCUUUGAAUCCUCUGACUUUGCAGAAAGAGGUGGUGGAGUCUCAUCACUGCAGUUUUCCUAACAAGAUCAUCUGGUUAUCUAUAUAUUAACUGCCUAAGCUCUGUCAAUCGGAAAGCGAUGGUGAAAUUGGGAAGGAAAGGUCUGUGCCUGAUGUGAUGUAACCUCAUUUCUGAUUACGAGAUGUUUUGGCUCUAAAAUGCGCGAUCAGAUAGAAGACAAGGUCUCUCUGGAGGUGGAAGCCUUCCAACAUCUACAUGUGUGUGUACUUUACAACGCCUUGGAAGCGGAGGAUUACAACAUGUUUCACCAAGAAUCCCGAAGACAAACCUGUUACAGUCUCAUUCCAGAACCUCUCCGGCAAGGAAAGUAUCAAGAUUCACGAAGACUAAAAAGAGCCACAUUAAGUCAUAAAAAGUCAAUUUGCAUAAUUACCGAAUGGGGGAAAAGCUGAUUUUGGAUUACAACAUGUUUCACCAAGAAUCCCGAAGACAAACCUGUUACAGUCUCAUUCCAGAACCUCUCCGGCAAGGAAAGUAUCAAGAUUCACGAAGACUAAAAAGAGCCACAUUAAGUCAUAAAAAGUCAAUUUGCAUAAUUACCGAAUGGGGGAAAAGCUGAUUUUGGUGAAGUACUAAGUAGCCGAUGAAAACAAACAGAGCCCCUUGUCUGGCUUUGAACCACGGGGUAGGUGAACGCGAUGAGAUCAUACGGACCCAGGUGCAGGAAAGAAAACAAACAUCUUGAGAUUCUCAAUGCGCUCGGCCUGUUUUCUUCCAUACGUCGGAGGUAACUUUAUAAGGUCACAUGACACCGGGGCUCCGAAUAUUUCCUCCUCCUCUGAAUGUAUGGAGUGAUUGGACUCCGGUGGCGGGGGACACGCUGCAGACGCGCUGACACUGAGCAGAUUAAUGGUCCCAGUUAUGGUAUGAUGGGUUUAACACGAUCUAUUCUUGCUGCCCCCGAGUGGCGUUUCCUGUCGGUAAUUUCCACUCCAGCCUCGUUUCCCCUUAACCCUUUACAGAGGAGCAAUGUUGCACGGUUGGUUACGGUGAGAAGCGCGCUUUAACGCCUGCACAUUAGACCUCCCACUUACAUGGAAUUUGACCCCUAUGACAUAUAUUUACGUCACAGGCGGGAAUAGGUUUAACGCAAAAUGACGUAUAUUUUAGGGGUACUCUGGAAGAAAUUAUUUA